rnacentral:rRNA from 1 species
UACGUAGGUGGCAAGCGUUGUCCGGAAUUAUUGGGCGUAAAGCGCGCGCAGGCGGUCCUUUAAGUCUGAUGUGAAAGCCCACGGCUCAACCGUGGAGGGUCAUUGGAAACUGGAGGGCUUGAGUGCAGGAGAGGAGAGUGGAAUUCCACGUGUAGCGGUGAAAUGCGUAGAGAUGUGGAGGAACACCAGUGGCGAAGGCGGCUCUUUGGCCUGUAACUGACGCUGAGGCACGAAAGCGUGGGGAGCAAACAGG